rnacentral:rRNA from 1 species
GGGUUAGUAGGUUGGUCAUGCCUCUGGUAUGUACUGGUCUCACUGAUUCCUCCUUCCUGAUGAACCUUAAUGCCAUUUAUUUGGUGUUUUGGGGAAUUUGGACUGUUACUUUGAAAAAUUUUAGAGUGUUUAAAGCAAGCUAACGCUUGAAUACAUUAGCAUGGAAUAAUGAAAUAGGACGUUCGAUCCUAUUUUGUUGGUUUCUAGGAUUGACGUAAUGAU